rnacentral:rRNA from 1 species
AAUCAACGCUGGCGGCGUGCCUAACACAUGCAAGUCGAACGCGAAAGCCCCGCAAGGGGUAAGUAGAGUGGCAAACGGGUGAGUAACACGUGGGCGACCUGCCUUCGAGUGGGGGAUAACGUCCCGAAAGGGACGCUAAUACCGCAUGACAUCCUGCUUUUUAAGAGGUGGAGAUCAAAGCCGGGGAUCGCAAGACCUGGCGCUUGAAGAGGGGCCCGCGCCUGAUUAGCUAGUUGGUGGGGAAUGGCUCACCAAGGCAACGAUCAGUAUCCGGCCUGAGAGGGCGGACGGACACACUGGGACUGAGACACGGCCCAGACUCCUACGGGAGGCAGCAGUGGGGAAUUGUUCGCAAUGGGCGCAAGCCUGACGACGCAACGCCGCGUGGAGGAUGAAGACCUC